UACGUAGGGGGCAAGCGUUGUCCGGAUUUAUUGGGCGUAAAGCGCGUGUAGGCGGCCAGAUAGGUCUGCUGUGAAAACUCGAGGCUCAACCUCGAGCUGUCGGCGGAAACCAUCUGGCUAGGAGUCCGGAAGAGGAGAGUGGAAUUCCUGGGUGUAGCGGUGAAAUGCGCAGAUAUCAGGAAGAACACCCGGUGGCUAAGGCGGUUCUCUAGUACGGUACUGACGCUGAGACGCGAAAGCGUGGGGAGCGAACAGG
rnacentral:rRNA from 1 species